CAAGUCUCAUAGAUUAGCCCUGCAAAACCGUAUUUACUUCAAACUAAUACGGUCCAAUCAGGUCAGUUGAGAUCCAUAUCCACGUCUAACCCAAUUGAAGCUUGAAUCUUGGCUCGUAGAAUCUCCUCUUGCCCAAUCAAUGUGAACAUGAAUAUCAUAAGUAAGCCAGGUAGAUUGAACAUCAGAUAUAUAAUCUAACCAUGUAUUAACCCAUGUUUUUAAACGAUUCUUUUUUGUUUUUCUUUGAAAAAAAAAUCAUAAUCAUGAAUCUUGUCGCUGCUUGUUUCGGCUA
rnacentral:lncRNA from 1 species